ACGCUCGACACCUACGGGAGGGAGCAGUGGGGAAUAUUGCACAAUGGGCGAAAGCCUGAUGCAGCAGCGCCGCGUGAGCGAAGAAGGCCUUCGGUCGUAAAGCUCUGUCCUCAAGGAAGAUAAUGACGGUACUUGAGGAGGAAGCCCGGCUAACUACGUGCCAGCAGCCACGGUAAUCUGAGCGGGCUGGCAAGGC
rnacentral:rRNA from 1 species